UCUGAGGAAGGAAAGCAUGGAGGUCAACAGCUCAGCAGGCCCUUCCCAAACCUGGGGCUCCUGACUAAUGCAAGGACUUCCGGUGUUUCUGUUCUUCAGGAGCCAAGGUAAGGUAAGUCUUAAAAUCACUUUGAUUUCCCAGGGCAAAUACUGUUAAUAAUGACAGCCAAACUUUAUUAUAAAGUGCUAUGUGUCUGACAUGUGGAAAUUUAAGAGACAGAGACACCUCUGAAGUAAGAGUUGUUUAUCCCCACUUUACAGAUGAAGGAGUGUGACUCAGAGGUUAAAUGACUUCCCCACAGUCACAAAGCCCCAUGUAGGUGCAGAGCCAGGAGAACCAGGUCUGUCUGGCUCUAAAGUCCAGGUAGACCCCAGGAUACCCAGGCCCUAAUAACACCAGCAGCAGCAGCAGCUGAAGUGUGGUGAGUCAGUGUGUGAGACACCACUGUGAGAGCCAUAGUCACCUGGCGUCACUGACAUGUGAACACAGCAGCCCCAUGAGGUAGGUACUUUCACCCCUCACUUCACAGACGAGGAAACUGAGAAAGAGAAUGCAGAUUUCUGAUGGUGAGGCCCAGGCUCUACAGUACAGAAAUAGAGGGGCUGUGGAGCUGGGUUGCCUGGGUUGGAUUCCCACUUCUGGCUGCCUCCACCACUUACUGGCUGGUGACCUCCACUCACAGCUCCUUCCUGUGUAAAUGUAUCAUCUGUGCUAACUAAUACCUACUUCUUAGGUUGCUGUGAGGACCGAAUGAAGGCACACAAAGCAUUAAGAACAGUGCUCAAUGUUCUAUUCUGCUUUUCCAUCCAUAAAAUUGACAAGAGUUAUCCCACCUCCUAUCUUCAAGACUCUCGGGAUGAACCAAGUCCAUACAGGGUGAGGCAAAGCAAACAGAAUGAAAUAGACCAAUCAGAUCUACUAUCCAAAGGACCACUGAGAGAAAGGGGCAGGAGAAGACAUUACAGGGUCGAAUACUCUGUCAAGGCAGAGGCUGAAACUUACAAGAAAAUCGAUAAAAGUUACACUCAUGUCAAUGUCCUCCCACCAUAUCCAGGAAAUGAAAAAUCACCUUCCUCAGUUCUAGAUAGUUCACAUUGAAUAAAUAAAGGCAUAAGAAGCUCACCCACCUUAUCCUUGUUUCUGGUACAACCUGAAAAAUCCAUGGCAUUGGAAAACAAGAGACAAGGAAGACCAAAGACUUUGGCAUUGUGCAGAACUGGGUUUGAAUCCCAACUCUGCCACUUGCUUAGCUGUGACCUUAUGCAAGUUAAUCAACUUCUCUGAGCCUGUUUGCUUAACUGUCAAAUGGAGCCAAAACCACUUCUCAGGAUUGGUGUAAAUGAGUCUAGUAUGGUACCAGGUACCCAAUAAGAGCUAAAUAAAUGCAAAUGCCCCUC